GAUCCCCUUUAUAAUCAAGUCUCUUGUAAACCCUAAAAUGACUCCCUUAGUUGAGAUAUAUACUUCCCUGCUCCCAUAUCCACCCUUCCUUAACCUCUAGCUCCAAAUCUUAGAAUCUUGAGUCAUCAAAUAUAUACUUUUCUAGUUACCUGUUUGUUAAUACAUUUUCAUGAAACUCCAGUGCCCUUCAUGGAACUCCAGAUUAAAAGCAAUCUUUGUUAAAUUUUAAAAAUAAAUAACAGUAUAGGAAAAUGUAUUUUUUUUACUCUGUGACAUUUGGCCAAAAUGGCCACACUAGCUAGUCAGAAGCAAGCCUCCUAUAGGAAAGCUGCUCCUCCACCCCUGAUCAGAUCCUUUAAUCUACAAGUCCCACUCUGCCUCCAAACCCAGUUAUUCCCACAACCUCAGCAGCUCCCUGAGACACAGACAGUGACUGCACAGACUGGACCAAAGGGUGAGUGACCAGCACCCCAGCUGGACAGCCCAGUCUCUAGGCCCUGGGCUCCUCCCCCACUCAUCUCAGCCUCAUUAAUCCAUCAGCAGCAAGCCUCCUGCAGGCAAGCCACCGCACUCAUCAAAACUGUUACCUACAAGUCCCACUUCACCCCCAAACUAGUUAGAUGAGAUGAAUCUGGUUUUAAUUCCCAAGCAGUAAUUUUUCACAUAUAAUUGUAAUCAUUGCGAUUUCAUAUCUAGACACUGUAAGAAAAGCAGACUAAACUGUUCAUCCUAAUUCAGCCACUGCUUAGGUGCUUACAUGUUGUGAACUUCUAAAAGUAAACACUAGAAAGUAGAAAGAACAAUUAAUGUAUAUUUUGAUCAUUGAUAAGAGAAACACACUUGGGUUGGGUAUUGUGAUGGGAACAAAUGUGGAGAGAAGCGGGAAAAAUCUGGACAUAUGAAAUGGUAAAGACAGUGCUGUUGCUAUUAGAUUGGUUGGGAGAGGAGAAUGUGGAGCAUGUUUUCCACAGAGGUAGAAGUUUGAAUUAUAUAAUUUCAAGGCACAAAAAUGCUUCUCCAGGGGCUCAUUGGUAAUUCCACCUUAUUAAGUUUGUGGUCCUCAUCACACAAAUGGUAAGAGCAUGUGAAAAAAGUGAGAGCAGUGUUAAUAACAUCGUCAACCCAUCUAUGUUUCUGUUUCACAUUUUCCAGGCACAACUGGGGACUGGAAGAAUCAUUUCACAGUAGCCCAAGCUGAAUCUUUCAAUAAAGUAUUCCACAAUAAAAUGCUGACUUUUCCCUCUAGGACUGUUCCCAUGGAAAAAAGUUUUUAAAACUUUUAGGUAUCAUAUGAAUACUGGUGUUUAUUUUCCUGUCAGUUUACAUGUGAAUGACUGGGAGUGGUCAUAGAAUAAAUCUUGUUAUUUAAUUGUGAGACUUUUUUGUAAUGAUAGCAGUAGUAGUAGUAGUAGUAGUAGUGAUAGUAGUAGCAGAAGAAGUAAUGUGUCUGUUUGUAGUGCCUUCAGAGGCACAAAAGAGUACAUUGGUUUCCAUGGAGUUGAAGAUACAUGUUGUGCUCAGCUUCCUGCUUUGUAUCCUUGGAACUGAAUUCAGAUUCUCUACAAGGGUAGUGCAAUGCUCUUGACCUCUGAAUCAUCUCUCUAGGACCAAAUCUUGGAGUCUUAAGUCAUCAAAUAUUUGCUUCUUUUACUACUGGUUUGUUAUACAUUACCAGCUAACACAAAUUAACUUCACAGAAUUUCAGUUUAAGAACAUUCUUUGUAAUAUUUUAAACAUAAAAAAACUCUAAUGGAAAAUGUAUUAUCUAAAGCUGUCAAAUUUUUAAUGUAUAGCAUAAAAUCUAGAUUCAUGUAAGAUUCCUUUUCAUAAAAUCAUGGGUUUUCUUAGUUGAUGCUGUUCUGUCAUGAGAAAUAGUUUUGUUUUCUUUGUGACAUUCAGAGAAAAACAAAACAAAUGUUAUAUAUAGACUUUGAAAUCUAAUACAAAUAGCAUAUGGUAUUAGACUUUUAUAAGCUCA